GCCCAGGUGGCGGAAUAGGUAGACGCGCUGGACUUAAAAUCCAGUGAUCAUUGCGAUCGUGCCGGUUCGAUCCCGGCCCCGGGUA
rnacentral:tRNA from 1 species